rnacentral:rRNA from 1 species
UACGUAGGGGGCAAGCGUUGUCCGGAUUUAUUGGGCGUAAAGCGCUCGCAGGCGGCUCGAUGCGUCGUGCAUGAAACACCCCGGCUCAACUGGGGAGGGUCGUGCGAUACGGUCGAGCUUGAGGCCAGUAGGGGGAUGCGGAAUUCCGGGUGUAGUGGUGGAAUGCGUAGAGAUCCGGAGGAACACCAGCGGCGAAGGCGGCAUCCUGGACUGGUACUGACGCUCAUGAGCGAAAGCGUGGGGAGCGAUCCGG